UGGGGAAUAUUGCACAAUGGGCGCAAGCCUGAUGCAGCCAUGCCGCGUGUAUGAAGAAGGCCUUCGGGUUGUAAAGUACUUGCAGCGGGGAGGAAGGCGAUAAGGUUAAUAACCUUGUCGAUUGACGUUACCCGCAGAAGAAGCACCGGCUAACUCCGUGCCAGCAGCCGCGGUAAUACGGAGGGUGCAAGCGUUAAUCGGAAUUACUGGGCGUAAAGCGCACGCAGGCGGUCUGUCAAGUCGGAUGUGAAAUCCCCGGGCUCAACCUGGGAACUGCAUUCGAAACUGGCAGGCUAGAGUCUUGUAGAGGGGGGUAGAAUUCCAGGUGUAGCGGUGAAAUGCGUAGAGAUCUGGAGGAAUACCGGUGGCGAAGGCGGCCCCCUGGACAAAGACUGACGCUCAGGUGCGAAAGCGUGGGGAGCAAACA
rnacentral:rRNA from 1 species